rnacentral:misc_RNA from 1 species
AUGAAUAACUUGAUGUGGUUGUAGCUGGCUCUUAGGAGCAUGUGCACGCCCGUCAUCUUAUCUUUCCACCUGUGCACAUAAUGUAGAUCUGGAUAACUCUCGCUCUUCGGGGCGGAAACAAGGAUUGCUGCGUCGCAAGGCCCAGCUCUCUUUGAAUUUCCAGGUCUAUGUCAUUACAAACUCCAAUUGAAUGAUGUAGAAUGUAGUCAAUGGGCUUUUAAGCCUAUAAAACAAAAUA